rnacentral:rRNA from 1 species
AGCCUGAUCCAGCCAUGCCGCGUGCAGGAAGACUGCCCUAUGGGUUGUAAACUGCUUUUAUACGGGAAGAAACCCAUCUACGUGUAGGUGGCUGACGGUACCGUAAGAAUAAGCAUCGGCUAACUCCGUGCCAGCAGCCGCGGUAAUACGGAGGAUGCAAGCGUUAUCCGGAAUCAUUGGGUUUAAAGGGUCCGUAGGUGGAUUGGUAAGUCAGAGGUGAAAGCCUGCAGCUCAACUGUAGAACUGCCUUUGAUACUGCUAGUCUUGAAUUAUUGUGAAGUGGUUAGAAUAUGUAGUGUAGCGGUGAAAUGCAUAGAUAUUACAUAGAAUACCAAUUGCGAAGGCAGAUCACUAACAAUAUAUUGACACUGAUGGACGAAAGCGUGGGGAGCGAACGGGAUUAGAUACCCCGGUAGUCCACGCCGUAAACGAUGGUCACUAGCUGUUCGGAUUUCGGUCUGAGUGGCUAAGCGAAAGUGAUAAGUGACCCACCUGGGGAGUACGUUCGCAAGAAUGAAACUCAAAUG